rnacentral:rRNA from 1 species
GACGAACGCUGGCGGCGUGCUUAACACAUGCAAGUCGGACGGAAAGGCCCUUCUUUUGUGGGGUGCUCGAGUGGCGAACGGGUGAGUAACACGAGAGUAACCUGCCCUUGACUUUGGGAUAGCUUCAGGAAACUGGGGUUAAUCCCAUACAGGAGAUCCUGCUGCAUUGUGGGGGUUGGAAAGUUGCGGCGGGUGGGGAUGGACUCGCGGCUUGUCAGCUUGUUGGUGGGGUAGUGGCUGACCAAGGCUUUGACGGGUAGCCGGCCUGAGUGGGUGAGCGGCCACAUUGGGACUGAGAUGGGGGCCAGACUCCGACAGGAGGCAACAGUGGGGGAUAUUGUGCAGCGGGCGCGCGCCGGAUGCAACGACGCCGCGUGCGGGAUGACGGUCUUCGGGUUGUGAACCGCUUUCGCCUGUUACGAAGCGUGGGUGACGGUAACGGGUAAAGAAGCACCGGCUAACUACGUG